rnacentral:lncRNA from 1 species
CCAUUCAGUGCAUAUACUCUUGUUUUUUCCUAUUCAUAGCAUUUUCUUUACUGACUCCUCAGUGCUGCAAAAAUAAGUACGAGGGUCAUGUAUAUUUCCUAAAUUAAAUAUUUGAUGACCUAUUUAUUGAUUAAAUCUAUUUUGCAAAGGUAAGAUUAUUUCUCAGUAAAUCUAUAACUUUAAGUAGCUUAAACCAACACUUCCCUAGUGAUAUUAUGUACUAAAAUACCAGUAUAUAACUGCAACCCACAAAUAUAAUGAACAUGCAAAUACCAGUUUACCUAAGAAUAAUCAACCUAUCUCAAAUGCUAUAGAAAAACUAAGAUAAGUUAGAGCAGAAGUUCACCUCUGAAAUGGCUAUAGUGGACCACCAAUUGAAGAAGCAAUGUUGAUAUAUUUCGCAGGAAAUUAUUUGUCAUACCAUUCACUUCAAUAACAUACCCUUUAUAAACAGGGACAAUUUCCUGAAAACAGAACCAAAAAUUAAAAACAAAAACUGAAAAUAGAAAUAGAAACAUCAAUUAAAAACAGAAAACAGAACCAAGUGCUCAAGGAAAAGGUGAGAAGGAGAAUAAAAAGGCGUGGAUCAUUGUAGGGUCUGUUGUGGGGGGACUAGUAUUGCUUGUGUUGUUCUCACUUCUUGUUUUGUGGAUGAGAAAGUACAAACAGAAGAAGAAAAUGCAGCAGAUGGAAAGGACGACCGAGUUGGGAGAACCUCUUUAAAUGGCUUCAAUUGGUUAUGUUUUAUAGAUCUUCAUCUUGAAAGAUCAGAAAUAUCCAACAAGGCUUCGAACGAACCGAGCCACCGAAUCAUGGUAUUGGGAAACCACAUGAAAAAGGUAAGGAGAUAUUUGGUGGUGGAGUUUUGAUAGGGAUGAAGAAAAGUUUGGUGUUUUACAUGGGUAGAGCUCCCUGGGGUGAGAAAAAUAACUGGGUCAUGCACUGCAAAACAAGCAACCAUAUAGAUCUUCUAAGGUUAGUAAAUCAAUGCAUCAUGCAUUCACCACAGCUAGUUUCCUUNNNNNNNNNNNNNNNNNNNNNNNNNNNNNNNNNNNNNNNNNNNNNNNNNNNNNNNNNNNNNNNNNNNNNNNNNNNNNNNNNNNNNNNNNNNNNNNNNNNNAUCAUAUUUAUUUUAUAAAUACAGGCAAAAUGUCAACAAACAUGAAUUAUUAAAAAUAUUUAAGAGUGAUAAAAGAAUGUUUCAUUGAUAAUCAAAAUAUUAAAUUAUAGGUGUUGAAAUUUUUUAAUAAUUUAAUUAGUACGUAUCAGUUUACCCAUAAUGCUCAAAUAUCUUAUUGUACUGGAUAGAGAAAAAUAAUUAUUAAUUAAAUUCUUUUUUAAGGAUAUUAAUUAAAAAGUUAGGAAAACUAUAUUCCUUUUUCUUUAAAUAAGUAAAUAAAGAAGAAAUCGUUUUGCGAGUAAUUCAUAAGCCAUAUAUUACAAAAAAAAAAACACAAACAUAUUUAUAUACAGCUAUUUAAAAUAAAAGUACAUUUAGUUAUUAAAAAAAAUAAACACUCUAAAAUUUAUUAUGUACAUUAGAUUUGAUACCUAUCAAGAGUAUACCGUUUUCUUGGAAUAUUAGGGAAAAGCAUUUAAAUUUGGUAUUUACACUUUUAAAUAUAUGUCUUGGCAACUUUGUAUUACAAGUCAACUACUCAAUCUCUAUAUAAUAAAAAACCAAACCAAAUAAAGAAGAAAAAUGCUUGUAGCUGCACAGAUGAAAUAAAAUGACUUGCGAAAGAAGGUAUCACAUUAAUAGUUCAACACCACCAACACCUAACCUAGUUUGAGUCAUUGAAAAAUCAGUAAGUUUUGUCUACUUGUAAGAAUGUGUAUCAUUUUUUAACAUAUUAUUUAACUCCAUAGUUAUAACGUUAUGUGUAUGCGUCAACAUCAAAAUUGUGUUCCAUGUUUGAAAAGAAAAGGAACAAAACAUAGGUCUUCUAGAUAGUGGUUGGGUUGUGAGCCAUAAGGCCUCGGUGCAGAGAUUUUCAGAAACAUGCAGCUAAGAGAAAACAACAACCUGUUGUUGCCAUACAUUUUCCAUACAGACAUCAGUGUACACAUACACCACAUUCAACAUUCUUAUCUAAAAUUAGUAUACUUGCUGACAGAUAAGGCUUACAACAUAAUUAACAAAAGAACAAUAUUUGAAAUUAGUUCUGAAUGAACCAACUGAAUCCAGUACUAGGAUGUGUAAACUUACUUGCAACAAAUAAUCUUAUCUUGGUUACACUUCUGGCCAAUAUCAAAGAUGGCUUAAUAAUACCACCACGAAGCCUUAAAACAAGAUGCAAUGUUGACUCUGUAAAAUAGAGAAAUCAACCCAAUGAUAAGUCUCACACUUUACAUUAAAGUCAUUGAGCAUAAUUAACAAUACCUGGGGUCUGCUGUUUCUCAGCCAAGCAGCACGAAAGUACUUGGAGUCGGACAAAAUAAAUCGGACAAAAUAAAGUAAAAAGUGCCUAAUUUUGAAUUUCAUAAAGAUUGUUAGGUUAAUUCUUAUCAAUUUAAAAACUACAGAUUUCCACCUCAAACCCCUACACUCUUUCCAUUCAUACACAUAUAUGACUAGCUACAAUUCCUAAAAUUCAUAUAAAAAAACAAAAUCAAUCAAUCACUGCAUUCAAACCAGUAGAGGAAUUAACAUCAAAUCGAAAUGAAUCCGAACCACUUCAAGUCGAACUGAAUCCGGUGCAAAGCAAAUUCUAAUUCAAAGGUUGUGAAUGGAGAUUUUGAAGAAAUCGAUUAUGAACUAGAGCAAACAGUGAGACAGAAAAAUCGAACGUUGUGAAGGAGUGUUUGAAGAAACGAACCUGAGCAAGGGCUUAUCAUACGGAGGAAGUUGUGAAAAAUCGUUGGCCGCAAAUGGAGUUUGAGCAUGGUGGAGCGUGAGAGUGCAUUUGGAAUCGAGGGUUGAGUUUUGUGUAGCUUGGGGAAGUUAGUAGAAUGUGUAAGUAUAGUCUGUUAUUUGAAAUAUCCAUGUUUAAAACAAUGUUUCUUAAAGCAACGCUUUUCCUGUAAGUUUCAAUUCAAAGGUAAAAAUCAUUGCUUACUCUUCUUUUAAGAUUUUAGGCAACGCUUUUUU